rnacentral:rRNA from 1 species
UACGUAGGGUGCAAGCGUUUGUCCGGAAUUAUUGGGCGUAAAGAGCUUGUAGGCGGUUUGUCGCGUCUGCUGUGAAAUUUCGGGGCUCAACCCCGAACUUGCAGUGGGUACGGGCAGACUAGAGUGUGGUAGGGGAGACUGGAAUUCCUGGUGUAGCGGUGAAAUGCGCAGAUAUCAGGAGGAACACCGGGUGGCGAAGGCGGGUCUCUGGGCAACUACUGACGGCUGAGGAGCGAAAGGCGUGGGGAGCGAACAGG